rnacentral:misc_RNA from 1 species
GAUGAAGAACGUAGCGAAAUGCGAUACGUAAUGUGAAUUGCAGAAUUCAGUGAAUCAUCGAGUCUUUGAACGCACAUUGCGCCCCCUGGUAUUCCGGGGGGCAUGCCUGUCCGAGCGUCAUUGCUGCCCUCAAGCACGGCUUGUGUGUUGGGCCUCCGUCCUCCUCCCGGGGGACGGGCCCGAAAGGCAGCGGCGGCACCGCGUCCGGUCCUCGAGCGUAUGGGGCUUCGUCACCCGCUCUUGUAGGCCCGGCCGGCGCUUGCCGACACAUCAAUCUUUUUUCCAGGUUGACCUCGGAUCAGGUAGGGAUACCCGCUGAACUUAAGCAUAUCAAUAAGCGGAG